GAUGAACGCUGGCGGCGUGCCUAAUACAUGCAAGUCGAGCGAACGGACGAGAAGCUUGCUUUUCUGAUGUUAGCGGCGGACGGGUGAGUAACACGUGGAUAACCUACCUAUAAGACUGGGAUAACUUCGGGAAACCGGAGCUAAUACCGGAUAAUAUUUUGAACCGCAUGGUUCAAAAGUGAAAGACGGUCUUGCUGUCACUUAUAGAUGGAUCCGCGCUGCAUUGGCUAGUUGGUAAGGUAACGGCUUACCAAGGCAACGAUGCAUAGCCGACCUGAGAGGGUGAUCGGCCACACUGGAACUGAGACACGGUCCAGACUCCUACGGGAGGCAGCAGUAGGGAAUCUUCCGCAAUGGGCGAAAGCCUGACGGAGCAACGCCGCGUGAGUGAUGAAGGUCUUCGGAUCGUAAAACUCUGUUAUUAGGGAAGAACAUAUGUGUAAGUAACUGUGCACAUCUUGACGGUACCUAAUCAGAAAGCCACGGCUAACUACGU
rnacentral:rRNA from 1 species